GGGGGAUUGGCGCAAUGGUAGCGCGUUGGUUUUCGGUUCUAGCUGUCCACCAAAGGUUGUGGGUUCGAGCCCCAUGUCCCUCG